AUGGCUGUCCUGGUGCUGCUCCUCUGUCUGGUGACAUUUACAAGUUGUGUCUUUUCCCAGGUACAGCUGAAGGAGACAGGACCUGGCCUGGUGCAGCCCUCACAGACCCUGUCUCUCACCUGCACUGUCUCUGGAUUCUCAUUAACUGGCUAUCAUAUGCACUGGAUUCGCCAACCUCCAGGAAAGGGUCUGGAAUGGAUGGGAGUAAUAUGGCAUGAUGGAGGCACAAAGUACAAUUCAGCUCUCCAAUCUCGAAUCACCAUCAGCAGGGACACCUCCAAGAGUGAAGUCUUCUUAAAACUGAACAGUGUGCACACUGAAGACACAGCCAUAUAUUACUGUGCCAGAGACACAGUGAGGAAACUCCAAUUUGAGCCUACACAAAAAAUACCUCCUUGUAGAGACAUCUGGGACCAGCAGAGGGCACUAUGA